CACUCCUGCGGGAGGCAGCAGUGGGGAAUUUUGGACAAUGGGCGAAAGCCUGAUCCAGCAAUGCCGCGUGUGUGAAGAAGGCCUUCGGGUUGUAAAGCACUUUUGUCCGGAAAGAAAUCCUUGGCUCUAAUACAGUCGGGGGAUGACGGUACCGGAAGAAUAAGCACCGGCUAACUACGUGCCAGCAGCCGCGGUAAUACGUAGGGUGCGAGCGUUAAUCGGAAUUACUGGGCGUAAAGCGUGCGCAGGCGGUUUGCUAAGACCGAUGUGAAAUCCCCGGGCUCAACCUGGGAACUGCAUUGGUGACUGGCAGGCUAGAGUAUGGCAGAGGGGGGUAGAAUUCCACGUGUAGCAGUGAAAUGCGUAGAGAUGUGGAGGAAUACCGAUGGCGAAGGCAGCCCCCUGGGCCAAUACUGACGCUCAUGCACGAAAGCGUGGGGAGCAAACAGGAUUAGAAACCCCGGUAGUCCA
rnacentral:rRNA from 1 species